rnacentral:rRNA from 1 species
UGGGGAAUUUUCGCAAUGGGGGAAACCCUGACGAAGCAACGCCGCGUGGAGGAUGAAGGCCUUCGGGUCGUAAACUCCUGUCGACCGGGACGAACGCUAUUGGGCCCAAUACGCCCGAUAGUCGACUGUACCGGUGGAGGAAGCCACGGCUAACUCUGUGCCAGCAGCCGCGGUAAUACAGAGGUGGCAAGCGUUGUUCGGAAUUACUGGGCGUAAAGGGCGCGUAGGCGGUCCUGUCAGUCCCUUGUGAAAUCCCCCGGCUCAACUGGGGAACUGCAAGGGAUACAGCAGGGCUUGAGUUCGGGAGAGGGAAGCGGAAUUCCGGGUGUAGCGGUGAAAUGCGUAGAUAUCAGGAGGAAUACCGGUGGCGAAAGCGACUCUCUGGACGGCAACUGACGCUGAGGCACGAAAGCGUGGGGAGCAAACAGGAUUAGAUACCCACGUAGUCCCUGAGCGGGCUGGCAAGGCGCAU